rnacentral:tRNA from 2 species
GCCGGAAUAGUUCAGUGGUGGAAUCACCCCUUGGUAAGGGGUAGGUCGAGGGUUCGAUUCCCUCUUCCGGCUCCA